UCAACCACUCAUAGACUGCUUUUGUUCAAACUGCGUUCAAAUAAGGCAAACGCCGAGCUGGAACCAAUCUCACUGUUUCUGUACCUCGCUUCUAAUUCCUUUUCAGAAAACAAAAACUCCUAAGAGAAUGAAUAGAAAUUUUCUUAAGGAAUUAUAAAGAACCAUCUCAGAAUUUUACUCUGUUACUGCAAAAUCUCAUGCAAAGAUAACCAAGUACGAAGAAUUAACUGAAAUUCAUCCCAAGAUGAGGCAUCUUGGCUGAGUUGCAGGUCCACAUUCGUUCUAGAGGCUGCCUGCGGUCCUUAGAGGCCUCAUAGGCAAGGAACUCAUAGUUUCUUGCCAUGAAGACUUUUCCAACAUGGCUGCUUACUUCUUCAAGCCUGUAAGGAGAUCCGGUCUCAGUUGGCCAGGUCUUGUGAAAGGUAACCUCAUCACCGGAGUCAAGUGUCAUCACCUUUCCCAUGUUCCAUUGGUUAGAAGUCCCAGCUCCUGCCCACAUUCAAGGGAACAUUCACCCUGGGAGCUCUGUGCUGCCAUGCAAAUGUCACAUUGCACUGAGGCCGCCAUGCUGUAAAAAACCCCAAGCUACCUACCUGAAAAGCUGGAGAGAAUCAGCACCCAUCAGCUUUUCCAGCAUUUUGGGUCCUCCCAGCUAAAUCAUCGGCAUUGUGAAGCAGAGAUGAGACCUCCUGCCAUGCCCUUUCCAAAUCCUGGACCAACAGAAUCAUCAUAUACACUAGGUUUUGUGCAUCUCUAAGAUGAUCAUCUUGGUGUGGGGUCCUGAUCUUCCCAGUGACUUAGCAGCACAGUAAUUUGGCUGAAAUGUUGAUGAGUUCAGACAAGAAGAAGGUGAUGAUGACAAGAGAGCGUCACGGGGAAAUUCUGCCCUGAGGAAGGAAUAGUUUGAGGCUGGAGAGAUGUGCUACCCCCGCCACUCUUUCUCAAAUGGAAAGACAACCUGUAGGCACAGAAAUCAUUGCUCUGCUUACACUGAAAUCUCCUGCUGACUUUGAGAGCUGAGCAUUGGAUUUUGAUGGGAGAGUGAAACUUAGUGAAGAAAUGAUUUGAACCUUUGUUGAUCUAAUACUUCUGUGAUACAGUUAUCUAAACAGAAUGAGUCUAAAGUCAGUAUAAAGACCUGUGUCUCUCCAUGUUUUGCUGCUUAUAAUUGCAGAGGAACAUUUUGAGAUAGAAAAUUUUAUCCCUCUUUCAAGUGACUUUUUAUAAAACAUAACCUUUUAAGAGAGGUCAUUCUUUUGAAAAAUUGUCUGAAUACAAAAAAGUAACUGAACAGCAAGGGAUUGUAGCCAUAAUGUUCUUGACCACUUUAGAUUGACAAAUAGUAUCUCAAAAUUGAUCAGGUUCUGGAGAAUCUAUUGAGGUUGUAUGGAGUAACCAAGUGAUGGAAGAGGUUGGAAGUGAAUAAUUUUAUGUGGUAUUAUGUGAUUUUUUUUGGUGGGGGUAGUGUCUGGAGCUGAGCAUGAUGGAGCCUAGAUGGGGCAGCCUUCUAAUGCUCCCAGUAUUUCGCAAAUCAUAUGUCACGUCAAAAUUGUAAUGACAAAGCUCACAGCAGCUGCCUACGCCAGGUUUGGUGCCAGCUCUAAUUAGAGCAUUGAUCAUUUCUCUCCCCUUCAUGAAUGCACAUGAGUGCACAUUUUCAUAUAUAAGGGCAAAGGACAUUUCAAAGUUUGGAUGGAAUCUUUCCUACUUAGAAGUAAUAAAAAACAAUACUUUGAAAUCUUACCAAAUGUUAAACAAAUAGCAACAAUUUUUCCAUUUGAAGAUGUGUGUCUUAAGGUCUGUUGGAUCUUUCAAAUUUCUAUUUUGGACAUGGAAACUACAGAUGAAAUUUAACUUACUCAAAGUUACACAGAACUCCUGGCUGAUCUCUUUUACUUAAUUCUUCUAAAAUCUAAAGUAAGAAUAAUUUUGAAAUUUUAUUGGUAAUGCUUAAAUAACAAAAGUUACUUUAAUAUGUUACAUGUUUGAAGUUUCAUUUAUACUUAAUAUCUAAUUUAACGCUUGUGAAAAUAUUAUUCAGUAUUUUUUUUUCUUUUCUAAAAUGACUUGUUCAGGGCUCCUUUUGGGAUUUUAAGUGAGAAAAACUCUAUUUCAUAAUAUUGUUACCAUGCUCAUCCAAUAACACUUCAUAGAUGGUUAGCCAUCUCUAAAAUUAAAUUUUGUAGUUGAGGAGCAUUGAAAAUAUCACCUAUAUUUGGAUUUCUGUUUAACACUUCAAAAUGCAUUUUAUCAUAAUUUAAAAUUUGAUUUAAAUACAAACCUCUUUAUAGAAAACCUGAUAAAUGUAGUUUUAUUUGUUUGCUUGCUUUUUUUUGCAGGGAGGGAUAUUCCCUUGAUACCACUCUGUCUUUAUGACUCAUCGGUUAUUUAUAAAUGUUAUCAUCGUUUUUCUGAUUUUUAAAUAAGUUUCAGAAUUAAUACAUUUAACUGAAUAAAUCAACCAAUAAUGUCAAACUUAAAA
ensembl:lncRNA DAOA-AS1 DAOA antisense RNA 1